rnacentral:rRNA from 1 species
UACACGGCUAGAGUAUUGGAGAGGUGAGUGGAAUUCCAGGUGUAACGGUGAAAUGCGUAGAUAUCUGGAGGAACACCAACGGCGAAGGCAGCUCACUGGACAAUGACUGACGCUGAGGGACCGAAAGCGUGGGGAGCGAAAGGGAUUAGAUACCCCUGUAGUCCACGCCGUAAACUUUGUGCACUCGCUAUUGGCGGAUUCGACCCCGUCAGUGGCCAAGCUAACGCGAUAAGUGCACCGCCUGAGGACUACGGCCGCAAGGCUAAAACUCAAAGGAAUUGACGGGUCCCCGCACAAGCGGUGGAGCAUGUGGCUUAAUUCGAUGCAACGCGAAGAACCUUACCAGGUCUUGACAUGUAGCGGACCGGGGCAGAGAUGCCCCUUCUCUUCGGAGCCGCUUCACAGGUGCUGCAUGGCUGUCGUCAGCUCGUGUCGUGAGAUGUUCGGUUAAGUCCGUCAACGAGCGCAACCCCUGUCCUUAGUUGCCAGCAUUCAGUUGGGGACUCUAAGGAGACAAUCCCGCUUUUGCGGGAGGGAAGGUGGGGAUGAUGUCAAGUCAGUAUGGCCCUUACGGCCUGGGCUGCACACGUGCUACAAUGCCCGGUACAAUAGGUCGCUACUCCGCGAGGAGAUGCUAAUCCAGAAAGCCGGGCCCAGUUCGGAUUGGAGUCUGCAACUCGACUCCAUGAAGUCGGAAUCGCUAGUAAUGGCGCAUCAGCAAUGGCGCCGUGAAUACGUUCCCGGGGAUGUACACACCGCCCGUCACAUCAUGAAAGCCGGUUUCGCCCGAAGUA